AUUGAACGCUGGCGGCAUGCCUUACACAUGCAAGUCGAACGCGAAAGGGGGCAACCCUGAGUAGAGUGGCGCACGGGUGAGUAAUGCAUCGGAACGUGUCCAGUAGUGGGGGACAACCAGUCGAAAGAUUGGCUAAUACCGCAUACGCUGGGAACAGGAAAGCGGGGGACCCUGAGCAGAGCGCGCUGAGAGGCGUUUGCGCUCUGCGCGUUGUGCUCAGGGCCUCGCGCUAUUGGAGCGGCCGAUGUCCGAUUAGCUAGUUGGUGAGGU
rnacentral:rRNA from 1 species